GAGCUCCAAGGCUACGACGGGUAGCCGGCACGGCCUACCAAGGCGAUGAUCGGUAGCUGGUUUGAGAGGGUGAUCGGUCACACUGGAACUGAGACACGGUCCCGACUCCUAGGGGAGGCAGCAGUGGGGAAUAUUGCACAAUGGGCGGAAGCCUGAUGCAGCGACGCCGCGUGAGGGAUGACGGCCUUCGGGUUGUAAACCUCUUUCAGUAGGGAAGAAGCGAAAGUGACGGUACCCGCAGAAUAAGCUCCGGCUAAUUCGUGCCAGCAGCCGCGGUAAUACGGAGGGUGCAAGCGUUGUCCGGAAUUAUUGGGCGUAAAGAGCUUGUAGGUGGCUUGUCGCGUCUGCCGUGAAAACCCGAGGCUCAACCUCGGGCGUGCGGUGGGUACGGGCAGGCUAGAGUAGGCGAUACGGGCAUAACUUGAGUACGCAGGGGAGACUGGAAUUCCUGGUGAGCGGUGAAAUGCGUAGAGAUCUGGAGGAAUACCGAUGGCGAAGGCAGCCAUCUGGCCUAAUUGACGCUGAGCCCUGGACAAACUGACGCUGAGGCUCGAAAGCGUGGGGAGCAAACAGGAUUAGAUACCCUCCUGGUAGUCCAUGCCGUAAACGUUGGGCACUAGGUGUGGGGACCAUUCCACGUUUGGGAUCCGUGCCGUAGCUAACGCAUUAAGUAUGCCGGAGCUAACGCGUUAAACGCGCCACCUGGGAAGUACGAUCGCAAGACUUGAACUGGGAGUACGUUCGCAAGAACGAAAACUCUUGGAAAUUGACGGGGGCCCGCACAAGCGGUGGAGCAUGUGGUUUAAUUCGAUGCAACGCGAAGAACCUUACCUGGCCUUGACAUGCCUUGACCGAUGCAGAGAUGCAUUUUUCCUUUCGGGGACAGCGGCACAGGUGCUGCAUGGCUGUCGUCAGCUCGGUCGUGAGAUGUUGGUUUAAGUCCCGCAACGAGCGCAACCCUUACAGUCCCGCAACGAGCGCAACCCUCGUGGUCCCGUAACGAGCGCAACCCUUGUCUUAUGUUGCCAGCGGGUGAUGCCGGGGACUCAUGAGGAACCGCCGGUGACAAGUCGGAGGGAGGUGGGGAUGACGUCAA
rnacentral:rRNA from 1 species